rnacentral:misc_RNA from 1 species
UAAAGGCUUAGUUGAGUUGAGUUUGUUCAUCAAUUGCAAGCUUUCAAAUCCCAUUCCCAAUACUAUUGCAAUACCAUACAAGUUACUGAUCGCACAAAUUUAGUUUUAGGGACAAUAUCAGCAACCAAACACAGGAAAUUAUUUCCAUCAACAAAAUAUACACACAACUGAUAGAAGUAUCCCACAUGCUACCCUGAACAGGAAUUCAGCUAAUAACACCACACAAUUCAACAAUAAACCACCCCAGACACGUGCUACAUUCAAAAAUAGGCCCUCAGAUCUCAUAGCUUCAACAGAUCAUAUGUGGUUAAAUGCACAUGGUUUUCAUCGAUGCCUUUAUGCACCACCAUCCCACACACACAAACACAGACACAGACAUGCAAACACACACACACAUACACACAAACACAUAUAGAUGAGGGGAAAAGCGUGUGGACAUAGGUAGAAUCUUACUGAAGCCGUUUUCAACGAGGUAAU